UACAGAGGGUGCUAGCGUUGUUCGGAAUCAUUGGGCGUAAAGGGCGUGUAGGCGGUUUGUUAAGUCAUGUGUGAAAUCCCUCGGCUCAACCGGGGAACGACGCAUGAAACUGGCAAGCUAGAGUACCAAAGAGGGGGUGGAAUUCCCGGUGUAGCAGUGAAAUGCGUAGAGAUCAAGAGGAACACUCGUGGCGAAAGCGAGCUACUGGACAAUUCCUGACGCUGAGGCUCGAAGGCUAGGGUAGCGAAAGGG
rnacentral:rRNA from 1 species